rnacentral:misc_RNA from 1 species
GAACGCACCUUGCGCUCUCUGGUAUUCCGGAGAGCAUGCCUGUUUGAGUGUCAUGAACUCUUCAACCCACCUAUUCCUUGUUGAAUUGUGUGGUGCUUGGAUUCUGAGCGCUUGCUGGCCAUUACCUGCUUCGGCGGGGAAGGCGAAGCUCGUUCGUAAUACAUUAGCAACUCAAUUUCGAUAAUUCGGAUUGACUCGGCGUAAUAGACUAUUCGCUGAGGACACCAAGCAAUUGGUGGCCGAAUUUCGAGGUAGAAGCUUCUAACCUCAAUUUGUAGUCAAAUUUUAUUUUAAGAUUAGACCUCAAAUCAGGCAGGAUUACCCGCUGAACUUAA